rnacentral:rRNA from 1 species
UGGGUUAAGUCCCGUAACGAGCGCAACCCUUGUCCUUAGUUACCAGCACGUUAUGGUGGGCACUCUAAGGAGACUGCCGGUGACAAACCGGAGGAAGGUGGGGAUGACGUCAAGUCAUCAUGGCCCUUACGGCCUGGGCUACACACGUGCUACAAUGGUCGGUACAAAGGGUUGCCAAGCCGCGAGGUGGAGCUAAUCCCAUAAAACCGAUCGUAGUCCGGAUCGCAGUCUGCAACUCGACUGCGUGAAGUCGGAAUCGCUAGUAAUCGCG